rnacentral:rRNA from 1 species
GUUUAAAAAAUAAGGUUAAGUUAAUAAGGGCGCACGGUGGAUGCCUUGGCACUAGAAGCCGAAGAAGGACGUGACAAACGACGAAAUGCUUUGGGGAGCUGUAAGUAAGCAAAGAUCCAGAGAUGUCCGAAUGGGGGAACCCACUAGCUAAUGGCUAGUAUCCAUAACUGUUAAGGUUAUGAGAAGGAAGACGCAGUGAACUGAAACAUCUAAGUAGCUGCAGGAAGAGAAAGCAAACGCGAUUGCCUGAGUAGCGGCGAGCGAAAAGGCAGGAGGGCAAACCGAAGAGUUUACUCUUCGGGGUUGUAGGACUGCGCUGUGGGACGACAAGAUUAUAGAAGAAGGCCUUGGGAAGGGUCGCCAAAGAGAGUAAUAGCCUCGUAUUCGAAAUAGUCUUUAACCCUAGCAGUAUCCUGAGUACGGCGAGACACGAGGAAUCUCGUCGGAAUCUGGGAGGACCAUCUCCUAACCCUAAAUACUCACUAGUGACCGAUAGUGAACCAGUACCGUGAGGGAAAGGUGAAAAGCACCCCGGGAGGGGAGUGAAAGAGAACCUGAAACCGUGUGCCUACAAGAAGUUCGAGCCCGUUAAUGGGUGAGAGCGUGCCUUUUGUAGAAUGAACCGGCGAGUUACGUUUAUGUGCGAGGUUAAGUUGAAGAGACGGAGCCGAAGGGAAACCGAGUCUUAAUAGGGCGUAAGUACGUGGACGUAGACCCGAAACCAUGUGACCUACCCAUGAGCAGGUUGAAGGUGCGGUAAGACGCACUGGAGGACCGAACCAGGGCACGUUGAAAAGUGCUUGGAUGACUUGUGGGUAGCGGAGAAAUUCCAAACGAACUUGGAGAUAGCUGGUUCUCUCCGAAAUAGCUUUAGGGCUAGCGUCGAUAUGAAGUCUCUUGGAGGUAGAGCACUGUUUGGGUGAGGGGUCCAUCCCGGAUUACCAAUCUCAGAUAAACUCCGAAUGCCAAUGAGAUAUGAUCGGCAGUCAGACUGCGAGUGCUAAGAUCCGUAGUCGAAAGGGAAACAGCCCAGACCACCAGCUAAGGUCCCCAAAUAACUGUUAAGUGGAAAAGGAUGUGGGGUUGCACAGACAACUAGGAUGUUAGCUUAGAAGCAGCUAUUCAUUCAAAGAGUGCGUAAUAGCUCACUAGUCGAGUGACCCUGCGCCGAAAAUGUACCGGGGCUAAAACAGUUUACCGAAGCUGUGGAUUACCGUUAAGGUAAUGGUAGGAGAGCGUUCUAUGUGUGAUGAAGGUAUACUGUGAAGAGUGCUGGAACGCAUAGAAGUGAGAAUGCCGGUAUGAGUAGCGAAAGACAGGUGAGAAUCCUGUCCACCGUAAGACUAAGGAUUCCAGGGGAAGGCUCGUCCGCCCUGGGUUAGUCGGGACCUAAGGAGAGACCGAAGGGUGUAUCCGAUGGACAACAGGUUGAUAUUCCUGUACUAGAGUAUAUAGUGAUGGAGGGACGCAGUAGGCUAACUAAACCGGACGACUGGAAGAGUCCGGCUAAGCAGUGAGGUGUGAUGUGAGUCAAAUGCUUACAUCUAUAACAUUGAGCUGUGAAGGGGAGCGAAGUUAAGUAGCGAAGUUAGAGACGUCACACUGCCAAGAAAAGCUUCUAGCGAUACGUAUACUCUACCCGUACCGCAAACCGACACAGGUAGUCGAGGCGAGUAGCCUCAGGUGAUCGAGAGAACUCUCGUUAAGGAACUCGGCAAAAUGGCCCCGUAACUUCGGGAGAAGGGGCGCUGACUGAAGGUCAGCCGCAGUGAAUAGGCCCAAGCAACUGUUUAUCAAAAACACAGCUCUCUGCUAAAUCGUAAGAUGAUGUAUAGGGGGUGACGCCUGCCCGGUGCUGGAAGGUUAAGAGGAGUGCUUAGCGCAAGCGAAGGUAUGAAUUGAAGCCCCAGUAAACGGCGGCCGUAACUAUAACGGUCCUAAGGUAGCGAAAUUCCUUGUCGGGUAAGUUCCG